UAAAAAAUAAGUACAAUAAGGUUUUUAUUUCUUCAGUGGUAGUUAAACAGCAAAAUCCAUUAUCACUGAAAAUUUAGUGAUAGUGGAAAAAAUGUCAUUAUCACUAAACCUUUAUUCAUAUUGAAAAACAAAUUGCACUACCAUUAAAGGUUUAGUAAUAGUGAACACCUUUAGUUAUAAUGAACAUUUUUCAGUAACAUAACACUGUUUCUUAAAGAAUAAAAAUAAUACUACGUAUGUAUACAUAUGUAUAAGCUGAAGCAGUAUGAGUAUUUGAAUAGAGACUUCUAAUUAUACCGCACUAAAAUUAGGCAAACAUAAUUUAUUUUUUAUUUGCUUUCUACUUGGUAUUAACCAACGUUUCAAAAGUACGGUCAGUGAGAUUUUGUUUGCCAUCGAUUGACAAUUCCAAAAAUAGUACUCACUUAAAUAUGGCAUUUCAAUAACUCCAAUUUAGCAACAUUAGUUCAAUUUUACAAACAAACUUACAAACUAACACUUAACUAAUGCAUGCUUACGUAUCGUCGGCCUAGCUUUUCCUUAUAAGCUAGCGAUAUUGCACAUACAUAUGUAUGUAACAUAUGUACUUUUGCUAGCAUAAGUGCUCAUUAGAAUUUUGCCACUUUGUUUUGUAACUCUUUUGCUUGAAUGUACUUACAGUGGGGAGCAAAACCGAGAACAUAUUUGCUUUCUUGAGGUAUUAGCAUUGAUUGUCAUGAUACAUUUUUUUCGAUAGGUUUUUUGAAAGUUUGAUGUUGAUUCUUUAUUAUACUAGCAUUGAAUGGACUAUAAAACUGCAUACCCAAAAAUAUUAUAAACGCUCUUAUUAAAGUCCUUGAAAUUUGUACGAAAAUUUUGUAAGUUGUCAUAAAUUUUGUAUACAGUUUUAAACUGUAAUUCAUAUGACAUUUUUUAGAGGAUGAACUACAUUUUAUAAAAAUCUCUCCAGAAAAUUGUAUCGUGAAAAAAAUUGCUAAUGUCUCAAAAAGGCAAAAAUGCGUUCCUUUCUACUCCCCAGUGUGCAUUUGAACAUUCAUACAAACAUAUGUACUACAUAAUAACUAACUCGCUUUACUACUGAGCUGCGUUGUAAUUUUAAGAGUGCCAAACCAAGUAGCAAGACACCAAGAAAUCACGUUUUAACUCAUAAAGAAGUGAGUUUAACUAGCAAAAGGAAAACAUUAAUUAUGAACUAUUGUAAUUGUCUAAAUGUCUGUUCAUGUUUCCAAAACCGAUUUUCCUGCAGACGACAGUAUUGAAGAUCUGGAAUUUAAUACUACUGGAAGUAAACGAAAGAGCUCAUUAAGUGCGGAAUCAGGACCGGCCCUAAAAAAAUUCUGUGUGAAUUCACAAAAAACUAUUUUCAAAAAAGAAUUUUACACAGAAGUGGAAAAAAUUUCCGAUAAGACAACUUGUGCUAAGUGCGUUGCAUGUCAUCGAGUGAUGAGAGGAAGCGGUGAAGUGGCUUCAAAUUUCAUCAAACAUUUGCAAGUCGAGCAUAGGGAAUGUUUUAAAACAUACAAAAGUUAUAAAAUAGGUAGCCCUUUUGGCGGUAACAUGCAAUCUGAGUUCGAUGGUAAACUGUUACAUGCAAUGAUUGAUUGUUCAUUGCCCCGUUCCAUUCUGGAAAAGAAAUCCUUUAUAGAUCUUUUUCAAAGUACAGGUAUGAAGGUGAUGUGUAGGCUAACAGCGGCUAAGAAAUUGGAAACAAAAUAUACCAUCAUGAUGGAAAAUGUAAAAGAAAACAUGGUUUGCUCUAAAUAUUUUUGUACUACAGCAGAUGUUUAGUCUGGAAAUCAUAGAAGCUUCCUUGGAUAUACAUGUCAUUGGCUUACAGACAAUUUCGAACGCAAAUCGGCAGCUUUGGCAUGUAGAAGAAUUUGUGGAGCACACACCGCGGAAAAUAUUGCGCAGAUGAUUUCUGAAAUCAACACUGCCUUUGGUUUGAACAGCUCAAACAUUGUCUUGACCAUUACGGACAACGGUUCAAAUUUUGUAAAAACGUUCAGAGAUUAUGGUGUGGGAAAUGACUUUUUCGAAGAUGAAAUUAAUGACGAAAUGCCCGUCUUUGAUAAUGAAAGUUUGUUGCCCACACAUCAGAGAUGUUGCAGCCAUACUCUUAAUUUGCUUGCUUCAACCGACUUCGUUAAAAUUUUAAAAACUGAGCAGCCACUGUGUAUCCAGCAUAAGAUGACAUUCGAUAAAUGCUACAACUUGUGAAAGAAUGGCAAGUGGCCAAAAUCGUCGGAAAUAAUUGAAGGGCACCUGGGAUCAUCGUUGGUUUUGCGCGUUGUUACUCGUUGGAAGUCAUUGCAUGACGCAGUUAAAAAACUACUUUGCUACAAAGAAAAAUUAAAUAAUCUGUGUGAUAGGUUGACUUUGCCACAGUUUUCUGCAAGAGACAUACAGUACCUGGAAAUGUACAAUUAGGUAAUGGGACCAAUUGCAAAGGCCCUGGACUUUCUUCAACGGGAAAGCAACAUUAACUAUGGAUUUUUAAUACCAACUCUUGUGACACUGAGCAAUAGGCUGCAUAAGCUAUGCAGAUCCCAGGAAUUGCUAUCAUCUCUUAUUUUAAAAAUGGAACAGAGGUUAAGAGAAAGGUUCCAACCAUAUUUCAUGUUGAAGCCUGAGGCAAAUAUUGCAAUUGCAGCAACAGUGCUAACUCAAAGAAUCAAAAUGAAAUCGGUCAAGGUGUUGCUGAGAUUAAAUCCGGAAUUGCCAGAAUUAACUGUCGAAAAUAUAACCAGCAGAGUUUUAGAAACACUUUACAGGUUUUACGCCAAAAAUUGUAAAACACUUAAUUUUGAAAGGAAAAUUAAUAAUGUGUCGACUAUGCCCGAUUUUUUUUUUUUAUUUCAGUGGUGAUGAUGAUGCAAUUGAAGUAAGUUCUUCUCCAUAAGAACAGAUUAAAGUUAACCAACGAUCCGUAAUAAAACAGCAGUUCUUCAGCUAUUUAAAUGACAAUGCAAGUGAUGACGAGAUUUACCAAAAAUAUGAUUUAUUUUUUUUUAACACGCCCUUAACGUCUUCAGCUCCAGUUGAACGACUGUUUUCAUUUGCCGGGAUCGUCAACAGUCCAAAGCGGCAAUCAUUGUCUGAUUUUUCUUUCGAAAAAUUAGUUGUAAUGAAGGCCAAUUGUAAAUAUAUGUAAAUUAUAAAACUGUUUUUUUGUGAAUUGAA